AUUUUCUAAUCAUGGUACAUGUAAGUUUCUAUGUUGAUUUCUAUUUCUAAGUGUAUAUUCUUGUUCUUGACCCAAAUGGAUGUUAUGACUUAUGACAGGUGUUCCAUAUACUGAUUGGAUUUACUAUUACUGGUUACUUCAUUUAUUUUAUCUUGAGUCCUGUUGCUGCAUGCCGAGAAUGGUUAUGCUGGUCAUACUCUUGUGGUUUCGUAGCCAGGGUUAUGUGUAAAUGUUUGUAAUAAGAUCCUACUUAUUUAUUUCACUGCAGCAGAUUAGUUCAAGCAUUAACCAGCGCAAAUAUGUGUGUUGCAGCCUUCCCCAGAAUUCUAUUAUUUGCUACAUUUCUUCUGCUUUUGUCAUUCUGGGUCUACCUUUGCCACCAGGCAGAUGAUGAAGAGGAAGAGGAUGAUGAACAGGGUUUUCUAGAAGCUUUAAUACAAAAUUCUUUGAACA